UAUAUCAAGGCAGGUUGCAGUUU
rnacentral:misc_RNA from 1 species